rnacentral:misc_RNA from 1 species
GAAAUGCGAUAAGUAAUGUGAAUUGCAGAAUUCCGUGAAUCAUCGAAUCUUUGAACGCACAUUGCGCCCCCUGGCAUUCCGGGGGGCAUGCCUGUCCGAGCGUCAUUUCUGCCCUCAAGCACGGCUUGUGUGUUGGGUGUGGUCCCCUCCCUGGCGGGGGGACCUGCCCGAAAGGCAGCGGCGACGUCGCGUCCGGUCCUCGAGCGUAUGGGGCUUUGUCACUCGCUCGGGAAGGACCUGCGCACGUCUGUCACAACUGUAUUUUUUACCACGGUUGACCUCGGAUCAGGUAGGAGUUACCCGCUGAACUUAA